AUACGUAGGGGGCGAGCGUUGUCCGGAAUGAUUGGGCGUAAAGGGCGCGUAGGCGGCCCGGUAAGUCUGGAGUGAAAGUCCUGUUUUUAAGAUGGGAAUUGCUUUGGAUACUGUCGGGCUUGAGUGCAGGAGAGGUAAGUGGAAUUCCCAGUGUAGCGGUGAAAUGCGUAGAGAUUGGGAGGAACACCAGUGGCGAAGGCGACUUACUGGACUGUAACUGACGCUGAGGCGCGAAAGUGUGGGGAGCAAACAGGAUUAGAUACCCUGGUAGUCCACACUGUAAACGAUGAAUGCUAGGUGUAGGGGGUAUCGACCCCUUCUGUGCCGCAGUCAACACAAUAAGCAUUCCGCCUGGGGAGUACGGCCGCAAGG
rnacentral:rRNA from 1 species